GAGUUUGAUCAUGGCUCAGGAUUAACGCUGGCGGCAUGCCUAAUACAUGCAAGUCGAACGGAGUAGCAAUACUUAGUGGCGAACGGGUGAGUAACACGUAUCUAAUCUACCAUUUAGUGGGGAAUAACUGUUGGAAACGACAGCUAAUACCGCAUAAUAUUGCUGGAUAAUUUCCAGUAAUGAAAGGAGCUUUCAAGCUCCGCUGAUUGAUGAGGAUGCGGCGCAUUAGCUAGUUGGUAGGGUAAUGGCCUACCAAGGCAAUGAUGCGUAGCCGAUCUGAGAGGAUGAACGGCCACAUUGGGACUGAGACACGGCCCAAACUUCUACGGAAGGCAGCAGUAGGGAAUUUUUCACAAUGGGCGAAAGCCUGAUGGAGCAAUGCCGCGUGACUGAUGAAGGCCUUCGGAUUGUAAAGGUCUGUUGUAAGGGAAGAAAUGGUAAAACAGGAAAUGGUUUUAUCUAUGACGGUACCUUACCAGAAAGCCACGGCUAACUAUGUGCCAGCAGCCGCGGUAAUACAUAGGUGGCAAGCGUUAUCCGGAUUUAUUGGGCGUAAAGGGUGCGUAGACGGUUUUGCAAGUCUGAGGUUAAAUUUAGGAGCUCAACUCCUAAUCGCCUUGGAAACUACAAGACUAGAGUAUAGGGAGAGGUUAGUGGAAUUCCAUGUGUAGCGGUGGAAUGUGUAGAUAUAUGGAGGAACACCAGUGGCGAAG
rnacentral:rRNA from 1 species